rnacentral:rRNA from 1 species
UACGUAGGGUGUAAGCGUUGUCCGGAAUUAUUGGGCGUAAAGAGCUCGUAGGCGGUCUGUCGCGUCGGCUGUGAAAACCCGAGGCUCAACCUCGGGCCUGCAGUCGAUACGGGCAAACUGGAGUGUUGCAGGGGAGACUGGAAUUCCUGGUGUAGCGGUGAAAUGCGCAGAUAUCAGGAGGAACACCGGUGGCGAAGGCGGGUCUCUGGGCAACAACUGACGCUGAGGAGCGAAAGCGUGGGGAGCGAACAGGAUUAGAAACCCCUGUAGU